GAUCUCUACCCCAACCUAGGGUUUGUCUUUGGCUUCUGUAUCCCACUGAUGGUUCUCCACCAAGUCCUGAUCUGGUUUGAACCAUCCUCCUACAAAAUGUAAUCAAAACAAUCAAAUUCACUAACCCCAAAAUUAUUUGAUGAUAACUAGACAUUGAAAUACAAAAGUAUACUAUGAUCCUUCAAAUUAUUCUUAAAAAUGCUUUUGUAGAUGGAAAGCAUC
rnacentral:lncRNA from 1 species